rnacentral:rRNA from 1 species
CUUGAGACCGAAGUGAUUGAUACCCUGCUUCCAGGAAAAGCCACUAAGCUUCAGUCUAGAAUUGACCGUACCGCAAACCGACACAGGUGGGCAGGUAGAAGAUACUAAGGCGCUUGAGAGAACUCAGGAGAAGGAACUCGGCAAAUUGAUACCGUAACUUCGGGAGAAGGUAUGCCCUGGUAGCUUGUAGGAGAACAUCCGAAGGGCGACGGGGCCGCAGAGAAUCGGUGGCUGCGACUGUUUAUUAAAAACACAGCACUCUGCUGACACGAAAGUGGACGUAUAGGGUGUGACGCCUGCCCGGUGCCGGAAGGUUAAGUGAUGGGGUGCAAGCUCUUGAUCGAAGCCCCGGUAAACGGCGGCCGUAACAAUAACGGUCCUAAGGUAGCGAAAUUCCUUGUCGGGUAAGUCCCGACCUGCACGAAUGGCGUAACGAUGGCCACACUGUCUCCUCCUGAGACUCAGCGAAGUUGAAGUGUUUGUGAAGAUGCAAUCUCCCCGCGGCUAGACGGAAAGACCCCAUGAACCUUUACUGUAGUUUUGCAUUGGACUUUGACGGGACUUGUGUAGGAUAGGUGGGAGGCGCUGAGACCAGGACGCUAGUUCUGGUGGAGCCGUCCUUGGAAUACCACCCUGGUGUCGUUGAGGUUCUAACCUAGGUCCAUCAUCUGGAUCGGGGACCGUGCAUGGUAGGCAGUUUGACUGGGGCGGUCUCCUCCCAAAAGGUAACGGAGGAGUACGAAGGUCUUCUAGGUACGGUCGGACAUCGUACUGAUAGUGCAAUGGCAAAAGAAGGCUUGACUGCGAGACCGACAAGUCGAGCAGGUGCGAAAGCAGGUCAUAGUGAUCCGGUGGUUCUGUAUGGAAGGGCCAUCGCUCAACGGAUAAAAGGUACUCUGGGGAUAACAGGCUGAUUCCGCCCAAGAGUUCACAUCGACGGCGGAGUUUGGCACCUCGAUGUCGGCUCAUCACAUCCUGGGGCUGUAGCCGGUCCAAGGGUAUGGCUGUUCGCCAUUUAAAGUGGUACGUGAGCUGGGUUUAAAACGUCGUGAGACAGUUUGGUCCCUAUCUGCCGUGGGCGCUGGAUAUUUGAGGGGGCCUGCUCCUAGUACGAGAGGACCGGAGUGGACGGAUCUCUGGUGUACCGGUUGUGACGCCAGUCGCAUCGCCGGGUAGCUAAAUCCGGAAGAGAUAACCGCUGAAAGCAUCUAAGCGGGAAACUCGCCUCGAGAUGAGAUAUCCCUGGGAACUUGAUUCCCCUGAAGGGUCGUCGGAGACCACGACGUUGAUAGGUCGGGUGUGGAAGCG